GAGUAUCUAGAAUUAAGACACUGAGUGGGAAGAGAGAUACAAAUAUGUCCAUAGAAAUAUGGAAGGUUUUAAGCCAGAAAAUCCUUAAAUGAAGGUCUGUAGCAGUAUCUCUCCAGAUAUUUAAAAAUACAAUGAUCACCAAAAUAUGCUAUAAAUGUUUAAAAUGGACUCCUAUCGAAAGUUCAGAGGUUAAAGAUGAUGUUGUUUAUGGUACUCCUAGAAAUUGAUUCUUCUUUAUUUUUUCUUUUCGUUGAGUUUAAUUGCCACUAGAAUUAUUUUCAAGUUAAGAAGAUAAGAGGAUUGACUUUUUAAACUUCAAAAUGAACUUCCCUGCUGUGACUGACUAUAUUCCCCAGUAUGGAGAAUUGUACUGAGGAUAAAGAAGACAGUCCCUAUAUUCUAGGAACUUACUGACCGAUUGAGAAAAACAAAUGAGGAACCUGUUGAACAGAAAAGUCUCUGACCAUAAUCAAGGUCACACAGUCAGAAGGCAUCCCAGCAGACACUCCACACUAGCCAAUGUGGAUUCAGAGACUGCACCCUUGAUUACUGUGUUGUUUGAUGAUACUAGUGCCGGCAUCAAUUGCGGGCAAGGCUGAAUCCAGGUUUUGGGGGCCUGAAGCUUAAUCAAUGUGGAGGACCUCUUUGAGGAAAAGCAUGCAAAAUUACAAAUACAAAAUUAGUUUAAAAACAUCUGAGGAAGAUAGAAAACAUUUUAUCUUUCAAGAUAAAAAAAGAAAAGCUCUUUGCCAACAGAAAACAUAAUAUGCGGACUCUAUGGCUAUUGUUUCUGAAAAAUAUAAGAGAUGAUUACAUCACAUUGUGUAUUCUGUAGGAAAAACACUGUAAUGCUUAUAUGGCUAAUAAUGGAAUGAUCUAAGUCAAUAUAUUGUGCAGUUUUGAGUGACAGAAGAAUUACACCAUUAUUCUUUGUAUUUUGGUUUCUGCACUAAGUUAGUCAUGUUCACUGUUUCAUCAUCAAUUAUCAUUCACUCAUUUUAUAAAAUUUUAGCAUCUGCA
rnacentral:lncRNA from 1 species